CUUCAGCGAGCCGAGCCACAGCGGCGACUCGCGGUCCUUGCCGUAGGUAGCCAGCAGAGCUUGCGCCUC
rnacentral:antisense_RNA from 2 species